rnacentral:rRNA from 1 species
CCUACGGGUGGCUGCAGUGGGGAAUAUUGGACAAUGGGGGCAACCCUGAUCCAGCCAUGCCGCGUGUGUGAAGAAGGCCCUCGGGUUGUAAAGCACUUUCAGUGAGGAAGAACGCCUGGUGGUUAAUACCCAUCAGGAAAGACAUCACUCACAGAAGAAGCACCGGCUAACUCCGUGCCAGCAGCCGCGGUAAUACGGAGGGUGCGAGCGUUAAUCGGAAUUACUGGGCGUAAAGCGCGCGUAGGUGGCUUGAUAAGCCGGUUGUGAAAGCCCCGGGCUCAACCUGGGAACGGCAUCCAGAACUGUCAAGCUAGAGUGCAGGAGAGGAAGGUAGAAUUCCCGGUGUAGCGGUGAAAUGCGUAGAGAUCGGGAGGAAUACCAGUGGCGAAGGCGGCCUUCUGGACUGACACUGACACUGAGGUGCGAAAGCGUGGGUAGCAAACAGGAUUAGAUACCCUGGUAGUC